UUCAAAUGGACAACUAGCAAA
ensembl:piRNA 21ur-580 ncRNA